UACGGGGGGGGGCCAAAGCGUUUGUUUCCGGGAAAUUACUGGGCGUAAAGGGUGCGUAGGCGGCUUUCUAAGUUGGAUGUGAAAACUCUGGGCUCAACCCAGAGACUGCAUCCAAAACUGGAGAGCUUGGGUUCUGGAGGGAAAGCGGAAUUCCUGGUGUAGCGGUGAAAUGCGUAGAUAUCAGGAGGAACACCGGUGGCGAAGGCGGUCUCUGGCCGAUACUGACGCUGAGGAGCGAAAGCGUGGGAGCGAACAGG
rnacentral:rRNA from 1 species